CCUACGGGGGACAGCAGUGGGGAAUAUUGCGCAAUGGGCGAAAGCCUGACGCAGCGACGCCGCGUGAGGGAUGACGGUCUUCGGAUCGUUAACCUCUGUCUGCAGGGAAGUACGGCCACUGUGCUAUUCAGCAGUGCAUUGACGGUACCUGCAAGGGAAGCCCCGGCUAACUCCGUGCCCGCAGCCGCGGUAAUACGGAGGGUGCGAGCGUUAAUCGGAAUUACUGGGCGUAAAGCGCGCGUAGGCGGUAUGUCAAGUCAAGGGUGAAAUGCCCGGGCUCAACGUGGGAACUGCCGUGGAAACUGGCGAGCUGGAGUGUGUGGAAGGAAAGUGGAAUUCGAGGUGUAGGAGUGAAAUCCGUAGAUA
rnacentral:rRNA from 1 species